CUGGGAGGCACACACCAGGACUGUCAGCUUCCCCAGGAGCUAGGGGUCUGAAGCUCCGGCAGGUUACCCGUCUGGCCCAAGGUCACGGGGCUAAGGGACGGGCAAGGCCGGCCCACGCUGGAGCCCCCAGAGCCCCCAGAGCCGUGCGGCCCUGCCUCCCUGGAAGUUCUUCACAACUAACCCCAGGUCGGGGAGGAAACCUGUCGUCGGGAGGGACAGAAACGGCACGCCCAAGGUCACCGGGCUUACAAGCGCUGGGAACAGGGAUCCCGCGGCUCAGGUGCGGUGCAGAGGCUCCGCCCUAGGUCAGGCCGCCGUCCACGGGUGGGGGGGGCGGGGUGGAUUCCGGCGUGGACAUCACGGAAGUAGCGAUCUAAUCGCUGGUCAGAGUGCAACGUGCCAGGCGAGGUCGGCGCGCUCCGAAUACCGCGGCCACAGGGAGGGCUGGUAUCAACUGGUAUCAACGCUUUACAGAUGAGGAAACUGAGGCUCAGAAAACUGCAAUGACUAUCAAAGAAUGCAUAGCUAGUCAAAGACAGAGCUGGGACCAAAAUAUGGGUCUUUUGAUCCUGUACUGAGUGCUCACCCUCUACAAAUCAUGCGGCAGGAACUGCAAAAGUAAUGCUACAUCCAUCUGACAUUAUUCGGAAGGGAAAGUGAAGAUGCCAACAUUAAUGAGCUCCUACUGUGUGCCAGGCAUUUUACAGACAUUAUUUCUUUGCAGCCCUUUGAGCAGCUGCCAUUGGUAGGAUGAUGCCUCUUUCUCAGUAGCUCCAGGAGGAUGCGUGUGGUUGGCUGGGCUUGGGUCACAUGCCAUCUAAGAAGCCAGGUGGACUGAGUUCCACCAGCAGCACAUGGAAUGAGGAGUGGUGGCUCCUGGAGCAAAAUAAGGGUACUGUUUCCAGAGGGAGGAAGAAUGGAUGCUGGGUUUCCUGAAGAAAAAAAUUCCAUGAACUGUAACUGAUACUUUUGUUAAAAUAAUUCCUUUUUCCCGGGAUCAUGGAUGAGUACAUCUUUGUCUAAGCUGUUUUUUGUUUUGAGCCCACCCAACCUAUUUCUCCUUUUUUUAAACUGCAUCCUGAGUUCUCAUUUGAAUGGUCAUAUUGGCUACUUGAGAAAUAAACUGACUGCCAUAACA